rnacentral:rRNA from 1 species
CGAACGCUGGUGGCGUGCUUAACACAUGCAAGUCGAACGAGAAAGUUUCNUUCGGGAAAUUAGUAAAGUGGCGCAAGGGUGAGUAUCACGUGAAUAAUCUGCCCUCGAGAUCGGGAUAACAUGGUGAAAACUAUGCUAAUACCGGAUAAGACCACAUUUCAUAAGAAAUGCGGUAAAAGGAGUCUCAAUCUUCACUCGAGGAUGAGUUCGCGCAACAUUAGCUUGUUGGUGAGAUAAAAGCUCACCAAGGCUACGAUGUUUAGCCGGCCUGAGAGGGUGAACGGCCACACUGGAACUGAGACACGGUCCAGACUCCUACGGGAGGCAGCAGUGGGGAAUAUUGCGCAAUGGGCGAAAGCCUGACGCAGCAACGCCGUGUGAGCGAUGAAGGCUUUAGGGUCGUAAAGCUCUGUCAAAUGGGAAGAAUUUUGACGGUACCAUUAGAGGAAGCCCCGGCUAACUCCGUGCCAGCAGCCGCGGUAAUACGGAGGGGGCAAGCGUUGUUCGGAAUUAUUGGGCGUAAAGCGUAUGUAGGCGGCUAAGUAAGUCAGGCGUGCAAGCCCGUGGCUCAACCACGGAAUUGCGUUUGAAACUGUUUAGCUUGAGUACAGGAGAGGAAAGUGGAAUUCCCAGUGUAGCGGUGAAAUGCAUUGAUAUUGGGAAGAACAUCUGUGGCGAAGGCGGCUUUCUGGUCUGUUACUGACGCUGAGAUACGAAAGCCAGGGUAGCGAACGGGAUUAGAUACCCCGGUAGUCCUGGCUGUAAACGAUGGGCACUAGGUGGAGGAGGUAUCGNUCCCCUCUCUGCCGUAGCUAACGC